CUUUUGCUACGAACAUACCCAUAAAAGCCUUUUUUGUUGCUUUUAACCUCUCUAGCAAGCCUGAGUUCAUUCUGUGCUUUAGCUUUUCUGACUUUGUGUCUACACGUGCUGGCUAUUUGUUUGAAUUCCUCUUUGGUGGUUUCCCCCCUUUUCCAUUUUUUGUACACAUCCUUUUUUAAUCUUAACUCAGUUAAAAGUUCUUUAGAUAGCCACCCUGGCUUCUUUAGGUACCUUCCAUGUUUCCAUCUCAUUGGUAUUGCCUGACGUUGUGCUUUUACUAUCUCCCUCUUAACAAAUUCCCAGCCAUCAUGAACUCCCUUUCCUUUUAGUAUUAUUGUCCAUGGGAUCUCACCCAGCACUUCCCUAAGUUUUAUGAAGUCGGCUUUCUUAAAGUCAAGAAAUUGAGUCCUAGUAUGCUUGGCUGCUCCUUUCCGCUGUAUAGUAAACUUCAGAAGAGCAUGAUCACUCGCGCCUAAUGAUCCUUCCACUUCUACCCCACUAACCAGGUCCUCAACAUUGGUUAGGACCAGAUCUAAAAUGGCUGUUCCUCUUGUUGCUUCUCCCACUUUCUGGACAAUGAAGUUGUCUGCAAGGCCAGUGAGGAAUCUGUUUGACCUUAUGCUCUUGGGUGAGUUUGACAUCCAACAAAUAUCCGGGUAAUUGAAGUCCCCCAUUACUACUAUCUCCCUUCCUUUUGCGUGCUUGGCCAUCUGUUCCAGGAAGGCAUCAUCUAUGUCCUCCGUUUGGCUUGGGGAUCUAUAGUAAACUCCCACAAUGAGGUCACUGUUAUUCUUCUCUCCCUUAAUUUUGACCCAAAUGGUCUCACUUUGGCUUUGAGGUUCUAAAUCUUGGAUAUCUUCACAGGUAUACACAUCCCUGACAUAUAACGCCACUCCUCCUCCUUUCUUGUCUGGUCUGUUUCUCUGAAAUAGAUUGUAUCCCUCCAUUAUUACAUUCCAAUCGUGGGACUUAUCCCACCAGGUUUCAGUGAUGCCUAUUAUGUCAUAUUUAGUUUGCUGUACCAGGAGCUCAAGCUCAUCUUGUUUAUUUCCCAUGCUUUGCGCAUUAGUGUACAGACAUUGAAGUUCAUUAAUUAUUCCCCCGUGUCUCUUAUUUAAGGAUUUUUUCCCUCCCACCACUAGGUCUGCGUGCUGUUUGCUCCAUUUGGUCUAUGACAUUUGGAUGAUCAUCUUCAUCAAUUGAUAGACUCCUACCUUCAGGAGCACUGUCUCCCUCCCCCACAUUAGUCAGUUUAAAGCCCUACUGAUGAGGUUUCUGAGAUUUUUGGCAAAAACAUUCCUCCCAACCGUUGUGAGGUGCAGCCCAUCGCUUUCCAGAAGUCCAUCUUCAAGAAACUGCAUUCCAUGAUCUAAGAAUCCAAACCGUUCCUGUUUACACCAUUUGCGAAGCCAGCUGUUCACUUCCACUAUUUUUCCCUCUCUCCCUGGGCCAUGUCGUUCAACUGGGAGGACAGAUGAGAUGACAAUUUGUGCAUUUAAUUGCUUCAAUUUCCUGCCCAGAGCCUCGUAGUCUCUUUUGAUCUUCUGGAGGCUAUUGCUUGCAGUGUCAUUGGUUCCCACAUGAACCAAGAGGAAGGGGUAUUUGUCAGUGGGCUUUAUGAUUCCUUGCAGUCAUUCAGUUACAUCUUGGAUCUUAGCCCCGGGGAGACAGCACACUUCCCGAGACAUCUUGUCAGGCCCACAGAUCACUGCUUCUGUUCCCCUCAGUAGGGAAUCCCCUAUCACCACUACACGCCUCCUCUUAGGUUUGGUCGGGGUUCUUCUGUGAGCUGUCCGUUCCAAGGUCGCCUGCACAUUCCCUGAGGACUGACUUUGCUGCUCGCCCACCACCUGCCUCCUUGAUCCGUGCCCGUCUUGGCUGAUUAGGGAGUGUCCAGAUGUUGUGCAGACCCCCCUGGUUGAAAUUAUCAAUUUGUCCCUUGACAUGGGGACAUUCCCAGGGGAACUGAAGGAAGCAGUGGUGUGUCCACUCUUAAAGAAAACUUCAUUAGAUCCCUUAGACCUAUCCAAUUACCACCCAGUUUCAAAUCUUCCAUACCUGGGUAAGGUCCUAUGGCUAGGUCGGGAUGGCAUGGGGAUGAGGGACCAACUCCCUUCUCUUGCGGGGGCCCAAUUAGUGCCAUUGCCUUCCGUUAAGAGUUUGGGUGUAAUCCUUGAUGCCUCCCUUUCCAUGGAGGCGCAAGUUACAGCAGCAGCCAAGGUGACAUUUUUCCACCUUCGCCGCAUCAAGCAGUUGGUCCCUUACCUUUCCUGCCCCGACCUGGCCACAGUGAUCCAUGCGACGGUCAUCUCCAGGCUUGACUACUGUAAUUCGCUCUACGUGGGGCUGCCCUUGAAGCUGUCCCAGAAACUCCAGCAGGUACAGAAUGCUGCAGCGAGGCUCCUCACGGGGUGUCUGCCAUGGGAGCAUAUUCACCCAGUGCUUUUCAAGCUGCACUGGCUCCCGGUGGAGUACAGGGUCAGAUUUAAGGUGCUGCUUUUGACCUUUAAAGCCCUUCAUGGCCUAGGACCCUCGUACCUAUGGGACCGCCUCUCCUGGUAUGCCCCACGGAGAGCCUCAAGGUCCAUAAAUAACAAUACCCUAGUGGUCCCAGGCCCUAAGGAAGUUAGAUUGGCUUCAACCAGAGCCAGGGCCUUUUCAACACUGGCUCCGGCCUGGUGGAACGCUCUGCCUCAUGAGACCAGGGCCCUGCAGGAUCUGAUUUCUUUCUGCAGGGCCUGUAAGACAGAGUUGUUUCGCCUGGCCUUUGGCUUGGAGCCAAUUUGAUUCCCUCCCUCCCUCUCUUUUUUCUUUUCCUUCUCCUCCUGUGAUGAGGCUACAUUUUAAUAUUUUAAUGUUCCAUUAUUUUAAUGUUGUAUUUUAUUUUUGUUUUUAAGUUGUAAUCAUUCAUCUUGUUUUUAUUAUUGCUUGUAAGCCGCUCUGAGCCCGGCCUUGGCUGGGGAGGGCGGGGUAUAAAUAAAAAAUUAUUAUUAUUAUU